UAGGCCACAUAGUUUAAGACCUUGUGUCUUA
rnacentral:piRNA from 1 species